rnacentral:rRNA from 1 species
UACGUAGGCGGUUCGGUAAGUCAGGUGUGAAAUCCCGGGGCUCAACCCCGGAACUGCACCCGAUACUGCCGGACUUGAGUAAUGGAGAGGCAGGUGGAAUUCUCGGUGUAGCAGUGAAAUGCGUGGAUAUCGAGAGGAAGACCAAUGGCGAAGGCAGCCUGCUGGACAUUUACUGACGCUGAGGUACGAAGGCCAGGGGAGCGAAAG